rnacentral:pre_miRNA from 1 species
UGGAACACUGCUUCUGUCAUUUGUCCUUUCAGCAGAUUAUGGGAGCAGAGUUUUUCC